AGGGUUAUAGCCGCAAGAAAUAUGUAAGCAUUUCCAAACUUUGGACUCACUAAUGUUUUCUGUGUAUAAGUUAGUUGCAAGUUCAUUAAUUUAUAUGCUUUGUGACACAACAUGAAAUCCUUUUUCCUUAUUUUGUCCAAAAAUGUCUAUUCUCAAAUUUGAUUUGUUGAUUUCCGUUUGUCUAAACAAUUACCAGGUGCAUUUUAUAAUUUCUUCUAAAGCAAUUGUCUUAUAUGCAUUAUUCUUUGUAUGCUUGCUGUGUUUUUGUUUCCAAAUAUUAAAAUUGCAACUUAUUUUUUGUUGCAACGUAGUUCAAUUAUGGAUUGAUUAUCGGACUGAAGGCUUUGAAGAUUAAUUAGGAGAAAAAGUCUUGUACGUAAUCACAGACAUAGUGUACUAAUUCUUCUUUUCUAUUUUUUCUUUUUCCAGCAAAUAGUGUGCUUGGUUGUAGAUUUGUCGGUUAAUAAAACAUAGUUGCUCAAAUUGAGAUUAGCUUGGGAACAAGUUGAAAAGUUUUGCUUGGGGCUAAAACCAGUUAGUUACCAAUUCGAUCAAUGUGAUAUGAAAGUGAGCUGGGUUCUGGAAUCCAAUCUUUUAGGUGCAAUUCAUCUUGAAAUAAGAGGUGCUUAGUCAAUAUUCAUUUUAAAACUGGUCCUGGAAGAUUCAUGGAGGAUGCUUCUUUAUUUUUAUUUUUGUUUGCUAGUGAAACACUAUAGAUUCCGGGCUUUCAGUUAUCUAUGAAGUAACAUUUUCUGAACAGUUCCAUAGCGCAUAAUGAUUUUAUUAUCAAACAAAUUUUAAUUUUCUUGAUGAUUCUUUGUUCUUCACUCUCUGUGUACUAUUCAUUCUAAGUACAAACCCAGGAGAUAUGCCAGAGAAAUUGUGUGCUUACAGUUUAUGUUUGUAUGCAACAAAAGUGCAGCAUGAAUUUCAGUACUAUGUGGGCGUAGACCUAAUUCAGCAUCAACAAUUCAAGUGCCACAGAUGGUCUCC
rnacentral:misc_RNA from 1 species